ACGUUUUGAUAUAUCAUUAUUUUCUAUUUCCAGAAAACAAUAAAUUGUUAAACAUCAAUAUCAUCUAGGUUAAGUAUACGAACAUCACAAAUUCAAACAUCACAAAAAAUAUUUACAUAAACAAUAUUCAAAAGAAUAGUUAUAAACUUAAUAUUUGAAAAUCAAAGAUAUUUUUGCUAAAAUUGUACUUACAUGGCCAAGGAGAUCGACCAUCUUUUUACGGAUCAAUCGAUUAUUGAGCAUGUGGCCGAUCCAAAAAUAUUCUACAGUUUAAUUAAAUAUCUAAAACAUUUAUUCCAACACUCAACAUAUAGUUUUGCUAAAUAUGAUAAAUAGAUAGCCAACAAAAUUACAAAAACAUAUUUAAAUAGUAAAAAAUAUGUUAAUUUAACGUGUUAAAGUUUAAAAACAAAUUUUAAUUAUGACAUGUAUCUUAACAUUUAUAUAAAUAUAUAUCAUAACCUAAAUAUAAAUGAUUUAACAAUUUAAAUUAGAAAAAAAUAAAAAAUCCUGGGCGUAGCCCGGGUUAAUCCCUAGUCUAUAUAUAUAAAGAAAUGUUCCUCCCUCCUGGUGAUGCCACGUCAGAAAGUCAAGAUUCAUAUGCUGACACGUGUCAUCUAUUAAAACUCUGCGUGAUGCGUUUUGUUUACUGGUUACUUAAUAUUUUAUGGGUUUUAAUAACGUGAUCCAGCCCAAAAGACAGCUAGCCCAACAAACAACACUGAGUUUUAGGUUUCAUGAUCUUCUUCCGUCGUUGAAUCCAAGAGUCUUCUCCUUCUUUCUCUGAUACGAGCCAUGGAGUUUCCAGAUUUCAAUCCACGUGAGGAAUCAUUUUUUGAAUCUCCAAUCGCGACGUUUUGUCUUCUCUGCUAAUCAACGGAAACGUUACACGUUAUUGAUUCAUUGCCUUUAUCAUACUCCUUAACUCCAUCACACCCCUUCGAGCAUGAUCUGUUAUUGAAUGCAGCUUAUUCUUUUGCAAGGCAGUGUCUUUGCUCCUAUAAAAGGUUACGGCAAUGACAACCCGUUAACAGAACAACAUAUGUCUUCAAUGAUCUUUCAUCAAACUUUUUUGUCCAGUUAUUAAUAUAUAUUUUAAGAGUCCCUAUAUUUAAAGCAUGACGAGAAUGCAAUUGAGAAAGAGACGCCUCCUCUGUUCCCAAUGUUCCAGGUGCACUCCUUCUAAAAAACCUUGACCUUUUGGACACAAGUACACAUGUUCUGUUUUAUGUGCUUAGACUGGUGUUUAUAUAAAUCAAAACUUUGUUUUCCCAAAUUUUGUUCUAAGAUUGUCUUUAAUUCACCCUUUUGAUUCUUCUUUCAGGAUCUCCGAUCAAUCUCCCUACCAAGAAUUGGUUUUAAAGGUUUUACUUGCCAAUGAGUGACGUUCCAUACAUAUUUCCAUGGUGAGCCACGAAGCCGUUUGCUUCAUAGUGGAUGGAGCGUGUUUGUUUCAUUGAUGUGAAGUAUCUAAUUUUUCUAUAGAGGCGGGGAUGUGGAAUCACUUGAGAAAGUAUUAAAAAGGACGAAUUAAGUAAGAGGGAAGAUUCAAUGCAGAAAAAUGUAUCAAUGGAUCAGUUGCAGUCACCAAUUUAUAUUAAAAUGAACAGGGGAGGAGCUUGAUAUUUUCGUAAACGAUGGAGGCUGCAUCAUGGAGAAUCGGGGAUGGUCUCUCAAGUGGCAUCUGGAGCUAUACAGUGUCUUUAUAAUUAAUCCAACUCUCAUGCCAGAUUUUUUUAUCAAUCUCAUAAAAAAAAUUUAUGUAUUUUUCUCUGUUUUUCAAUAAAUAUUGAGAGCUUUGCAAAUCUAUCAAGAACACUUAGCAAUUGUAAAGGAGAGUCCUUUUAUUCACGUUUGAUAUCGUAACACCAUUUAUAUGUAACGACAUAGUAUGUAUCUUACAGCUAUACACACUAAGUUACAGAAUGUAACCGACCUAUAUAUGGCCAAAUACUUCAUUAAGGUUACAAACAUCCAACUUGAAUAGACAAACACUUAACUCAAGAUUUGUAGUUAUAAAAAUUUGUAAAUCAUUUUUAUUUAAACCAGCUUCAAUUUAUAAACCACUUUCUGCUAACAAAUUCAUGCUAAAGUACAAGAUGCAUCAAAAAUGGUUAUUCGAUUGUUUCUUAUAAAUUUUGAGAUCUGAGAUUAAUAUGUAGUGUACAAAUUAAAUAGGAUAAAAGUAAUCACUGUUUUGUUAAAUGCGUGAAAAUAAAUAAAUAAAUAUAUAUAUAUAUAAUUGGAGGAUUAAAUUGACGCUAUGUUGAAUGUGUCAUUAAAAUUCUUAAAAUGAAUAGUAAAAAUAUAAAUAAAAUUGUUGUAAAACAAUUAUGAACCUUAAUGCUAUUUUUAGUUAAUGUAUAUUAAAAUUUAAAAUAUAUAUUUUUUCAUUAGUUUAUUCACACGUCCGCCCGUAGGGCGGGUUUACCCUAGUUAUAUAUAUAAUAACGUUCCUAUAUAUAUAAAGAAAUGUUCCUCCCUCCUGGUGAUGCCACGUCAGAAAGUCAAGAUUCAUAUGCUGACACGUGUCAUCUAUUAAAACUCUGCGUGAUGCGUUUUGUUUACUGGUUACUUAAUAUUUUAUGGGUUUUAAUAACGUGAUCCAGCCCAAAAGACAGCUAGCCCAACAAACAACACUGAGUUUUAGGUUUCAUGAUCUUCUUCCGUCGUUGAAUCCAAGAGUCUUCUCCUUCUUUCUCUGAUACGAGCCAUGGAGUUUCCAGAUUUCAAUCCACGUGAGGAAUCAUUUUUUGAAUCUCCAAUCGCGACGUUUUGUCUUCUCUGCUAAUCAACGGAAACGUUACACGUUAUUGAUUCAUUGCCUUUAUCAUACUCCUUAACUCCAUCACACCCCUUCGAGCAUGAUCUGUUAUUGAAUGCAGCUUAUUCUUUUGCAAGGCAGUGUCUUUGCUCCUAUAAAAGGUUACGGCAAUGACAACCCGUUAACAGAACAACAUAUGUCUUCAAUGAUCUUUCAUCAAACUUUUUUGUCCAGUUAUUAAUAUAUAUUUUAAGAGUCCCUAUAUUUAAAGCAUGACGAGAAUGCAAUUGAGAAAGAGACGCCUCCUCUGUUCCCAAUGUUCCAGGUGCACUCCUUCUAAAAAACCUUGACCUUUUGGACACAAGUACACAUGUUCUGUUUUAUGUGCUUAGACUGGUGUUUAUAUAAAUCAAAACUUUGUUUUCCCAAAUUUUGUUCUAAGAUUGUCUUUAAUUCACCCUUUUGAUUCUUCUUUCAGGAUCUCCGAUCAAUCUCCCUACCAAGAAUUGGUUUUAAAGGUUUUACUUGCCAAUGAGUGACGUUCCAUACAUAUUUCCAUGGUGAGCCACGAAGCCGUUUGCUUCAUAGUGGAUGGAGCGUGUUUGUUUCAUUGAUGUGAAGUAUCUAAUUUUUCUAUAGAGGCGGGGAUGUGGAAUCACUUGAGAAAGUAUUAAAAAGGACGAAUUAAGUAAGAGGGAAGAUUCAAUGCAGAAAAAUGUAUCAAUGGAUCAGUUGCAGUCACCAAUUUAUAUUAAAAUGAACAGGGGAGGAGCUUGAUAUUUUCGUAAACGAUGGAGGCUGCAUCAUGGAGAAUCGGGGAUGGUCUCUCAAGUGGCAUCUGGAGCUAUACAGUGUCUUUAUAAUUAAUCCAACUCUCAUGCCAGAUUUUUUUAUCAAUCUCAUAAAAAAAAUUUAUGUAUUUUUCUCUGUUUUUCAAUAAAUAUUGAGAGCUUUGCAAAUCUAUCAAGAACACUUAGCAAUUGUAAAGGAGAGUCCUUUUAUUCACGUUUGAUAUCGUAACACCAUUUAUAUGUAACGACAUAGUAUGUAUCUUACAGCUAUACACACUAAGUUACAGAAUGUAACCGACCUAUAUAUGGCCAAAUACUUCAUUAAGGUUACAAACAUCCAACUUGAAUAGACAAACACUUAACUCAAGAUUUGUAGUUAUAAAAAUUUGUAAAUCAUUUUUAUUUAAACCAGCUUCAAUUUAUAAACCACUUUCUGCUAACAAAUUCAUGCUAAAGUACAAGAUGCAUCAAAAAUGGUUAUUCGAUUGUUUCUUAUAAAUUUUGAGAUCUGAGAUUAAUAUGUAGUGUACAAAUUAAAUAGGAUAAAAGUAAUCACUGUUUUGUUAAAUGCGUGAAAAUAAAUAAAUAAAUAUAUAUAUAUAUAAUUGGAGGAUUAAAUUGACGCUAUGUUGAAUGUGUCAUUAAAAUUCUUAAAAUGAAUAGUAAAAAUAUAAAUAAAAUUGUUGUAAAACAAUUAUGAACCUUAAUGCUAUUUUUAGUUAAUGUAUAUUAAAAUUUAAAAUAUAUAUUUUUUCAUUAGUUUAUUCACACGUCCGCCCGUAGGGCGGGUUUACCCUAGUUAUAUAUAUAAUAACGUUCCUAUAUAUAUAAAGAAAUGUUCCUCCCUCCUGGUGAUGCCACGUCAGAAAGUCAAGAUUCAUAUGCUGACACGUGUCAUCUAUUAAAACUCUGCGUGAUGCGUUUUGUUUACUGGUUACUUAAUAUUUUAUGGGUUUUAAUAACGUGAUCCAGCCCAAAAGACAGCUAGCCCAACAAACAACACUGAGUUUUAGGUUUCAUGAUCUUCUUCCGUCGUUGAAUCCAAGAGUCUUCUCCUUCUUUCUCUGAUACGAGCCAUGGAGUUUCCAGAUUUCAAUCCACGUGAGGAAUCAUUUUUUGAAUCUCCAAUCGCGACGUUUUGUCUUCUCUGCUAAUCAACGGAAACGUUACACGUUAUUGAUUCAUUGCCUUUAUCAUACUCCUUAACUCCAUCACACCCCUUCGAGCAUGAUCUGUUAUUGAAUGCAGCUUAUUCUUUUGCAAGGCAGUGUCUUUGCUCCUAUAAAAGGUUACGGCAAUGACAACCCGUUAACAGAACAACAUAUGUCUUCAAUGAUCUUUCAUCAAACUUUUUUGUCCAGUUAUUAAUAUAUAUUUUAAGAGUCCCUAUAUUUAAAGCAUGACGAGAAUGCAAUUGAGAAAGAGACGCCUCCUCUGUUCCCAAUGUUCCAGGUGCACUCCUUCUAAAAAACCUUGACCUUUUGGACACAAGUACACAUGUUCUGUUUUAUGUGCUUAGACUGGUGUUUAUAUAAAUCAAAACUUUGUUUUCCCAAAUUUUGUUCUAAGAUUGUCUUUAAUUCACCCUUUUGAUUCUUCUUUCAGGAUCUCCGAUCAAUCUCCCUACCAAGAAUUGGUUUUAAAGGUUUUACUUGCCAAUGAGUGACGUUCCAUACAUAUUUCCAUGGUGAGCCACGAAGCCGUUUGCUUCAUAGUGGAUGGAGCGUGUUUGUUUCAUUGAUGUGAAGUAUCUAAUUUUUCUAUAGAGGCGGGGAUGUGGAAUCACUUGAGAAAGUAUUAAAAAGGACGAAUUAAGUAAGAGGGAAGAUUCAAUGCAGAAAAAUGUAUCAAUGGAUCAGUUGCAGUCACCAAUUUAUAUUAAAAUGAACAGGGGAGGAGCUUGAUAUUUUCGUAAACGAUGGAGGCUGCAUCAUGGAGAAUCGGGGAUGGUCUCUCAAGUGGCAUCUGGAGCUAUACAGUGUCUUUAUAAUUAAUCCAACUCUCAUGCCAGAUUUUUUUAUCAAUCUCAUAAAAAAAAUUUAUGUAUUUUUCUCUGUUUUUCAAUAAAUAUUGAGAGCUUUGCAAAUCUAUCAAGAACACUUAGCAAUUGUAAAGGAGAGUCCUUUUAUUCACGUUUGAUAUCGUAACACCAUUUAUAUGUAACGACAUAGUAUGUAUCUUACAGCUAUACACACUAAGUUACAGAAUGUAACCGACCUAUAUAUGGCCAAAUACUUCAUUAAGGUUACAAACAUCCAACUUGAAUAGACAAACACUUAACUCAAGAUUUGUAGUUAUAAAAAUUUGUAAAUCAUUUUUAUUUAAACCAGCUUCAAUUUAUAAACCACUUUCUGCUAACAAAUUCAUGCUAAAGUACAAGAUGCAUCAAAAAUGGUUAUUCGAUUGUUUCUUAUAAAUUUUGAGAUCUGAGAUUAAUAUGUAGUGUACAAAUUAAAUAGGAUAAAAGUAAUCACUGUUUUGUUAAAUGCGUGAAAAUAAAUAAAUAAAUAUAUAUAUAUAUAAUUGGAGGAUUAAAUUGACGCUAUGUUGAAUGUGUCAUUAAAAUUCUUAAAAUGAAUAGUAAAAAUAUAAAUAAAAUUGUUGUAAAACAAUUAUGAACCUUAAUGCUAUUUUUAGUUAAUGUAUAUUAAAAUUUAAAAUAUAUAUUUUUUCAUUAGUUUAUUCACACGUCCGCCCGUAGGGCGGGUUUACCCUAGUUAUAUAUAUAAUAACGUUCCUAUAUAUAUAAAGAAAUGUUCCUCCCUCCUGGUGAUGCCACGUCAGAAAGUCAAGAUUCAUAUGCUGACACGUGUCAUCUAUUAAAACUCUGCGUGAUGCGUUUUGUUUACUGGUUACUUAAUAUUUUAUGGGUUUUAAUAACGUGAUCCAGCCCAAAAGACAGCUAGCCCAACAAACAACACUGAGUUUUAGGUUUCAUGAUCUUCUUCCGUCGUUGAAUCCAAGAGUCUUCUCCUUCUUUCUCUGAUACGAGCCAUGGAGUUUCCAGAUUUCAAUCCACGUGAGGAAUCAUUUUUUGAAUCUCCAAUCGCGACGUUUUGUCUUCUCUGCUAAUCAACGGAAACGUUACACGUUAUUGAUUCAUUGCCUUUAUCAUACUCCUUAACUCCAUCACACCCCUUCGAGCAUGAUCUGUUAUUGAAUGCAGCUUAUUCUUUUGCAAGGCAGUGUCUUUGCUCCUAUAAAAGGUUACGGCAAUGACAACCCGUUAACAGAACAACAUAUGUCUUCAAUGAUCUUUCAUCAAACUUUUUUGUCCAGUUAUUAAUAUAUAUUUUAAGAGUCCCUAUAUUUAAAGCAUGACGAGAAUGCAAUUGAGAAAGAGACGCCUCCUCUGUUCCCAAUGUUCCAGGUGCACUCCUUCUAAAAAACCUUGACCUUUUGGACACAAGUACACAUGUUCUGUUUUAUGUGCUUAGACUGGUGUUUAUAUAAAUCAAAACUUUGUUUUCCCAAAUUUUGUUCUAAGAUUGUCUUUAAUUCACCCUUUUGAUUCUUCUUUCAGGAUCUCCGAUCAAUCUCCCUACCAAGAAUUGGUUUUAAAGGUUUUACUUGCCAAUGAGUGACGUUCCAUACAUAUUUCCAUGGUGAGCCACGAAGCCGUUUGCUUCAUAGUGGAUGGAGCGUGUUUGUUUCAUUGAUGUGAAGUAUCUAAUUUUUCUAUAGAGGCGGGGAUGUGGAAUCACUUGAGAAAGUAUUAAAAAGGACGAAUUAAGUAAGAGGGAAGAUUCAAUGCAGAAAAAUGUAUCAAUGGAUCAGUUGCAGUCACCAAUUUAUAUUAAAAUGAACAGGGGAGGAGCUUGAUAUUUUCGUAAACGAUGGAGGCUGCAUCAUGGAGAAUCGGGGAUGGUCUCUCAAGUGGCAUCUGGAGCUAUACAGUGUCUUUAUAAUUAAUCCAACUCUCAUGCCAGAUUUUUUUAUCAAUCUCAUAAAAAAAAUUUAUGUAUUUUUCUCUGUUUUUCAAUAAAUAUUGAGAGCUUUGCAAAUCUAUCAAGAACACUUAGCAAUUGUAAAGGAGAGUCCUUUUAUUCACGUUUGAUAUCGUAACACCAUUUAUAUGUAACGACAUAGUAUGUAUCUUACAGCUAUACACACUAAGUUACAGAAUGUAACCGACCUAUAUAUGGCCAAAUACUUCAUUAAGGUUACAAACAUCCAACUUGAAUAGACAAACACUUAACUCAAGAUUUGUAGUUAUAAAAAUUUGUAAAUCAUUUUUAUUUAAACCAGCUUCAAUUUAUAAACCACUUUCUGCUAACAAAUUCAUGCUAAAGUACAAGAUGCAUCAAAAAUGGUUAUUCGAUUGUUUCUUAUAAAUUUUGAGAUCUGAGAUUAAUAUGUAGUGUACAAAUUAAAUAGGAUAAAAGUAAUCACUGUUUUGUUAAAUGCGUGAAAAUAAAUAAAUAAAUAUAUAUAUAUAUAAUUGGAGGAUUAAAUUGACGCUAUGUUGAAUGUGUCAUUAAAAUUCUUAAAAUGAAUAGUAAAAAUAUAAAUAAAAUUGUUGUAAAACAAUUAUGAACCUUAAUGCUAUUUUUAGUUAAUGUAUAUUAAAAUUUAAAAUAUAUAUUUUUUCAUUAGUUUAUUCACACGUCCGCCCGUAGGGCGGGUUUACCCUAGUUAUAUAUAUAAUAACGUUUGCCUCUCUCACGUUCGUCCACGUAGGCAUCCACGUAGGAAAGUCGAACGCUCUCUUGCCGCCACGUGUCACUUACUUAAACGCUUCGUACCAUUCUUUUCUCCUCCGCAAUCCGUUGGGCCUACCUUCUUAUUCUGCCUGAACAUUUUGCAUUAUUAAGCCCAUAGAAUAUUUUAUUAGAGCGUGAUAUGAUAUAUCGCAAAACGGUGCGUUUCGUAUUCUGUCUUUCAUCUGUCUCCCAUCUCCGCCGUAGGCGAUUUAGGGUUUCCAUCGAAACUGAGUAUUCUUCCUCCUGAUCCAGCGAUCAAUCGGCGCCGUAUCGACUAUACAGUUUCCAGCGAACUGUUCAUCUUCUUUUUACUGAUCAAGUAAUCAAUCGGUUAGGGAAACAUUGCUAUUGAAUUCCCUCUUUAAAUCCACCUUCCACGAUCUCUCUUCAAUUCCACUUUAGCUCUUCAAAGGCGGUGGUGGUUCCACUAUAAAAAGGUUAGCAUCUCUACAAUCUAUAGCAUCCUAUCAAUCUAUUAAAACAAAACAAUCUCCUUAUUUUCUGAAAAAAUGGCUAAUGCUCGAGUUUUCCUUCCUGAUUUGAAAUCGGGUAGAUGUUCUGAGGUUAGGUUAUUGCGUUUCUGGGAGGCAAGGAACAUCAAGCGAGGUGAUGAACUGAUGUCCGUGGAUAUGCUCCUGCUUGAUUCGAAUGUGACUUCAAGGUAUUCUCGGCUUUAAAACUCACAUAUUUAUCGACUUUUGAAAAUGCAAAAGACUAUGUUCAUAUUUAUGAGAUCUUUUUUGUUUCCUUUGUUAAUUUCGUUUCACUGUGUUCCUGUAUUGCAGCCAACAAACACUCACGUUUUCUAGGCCAUAUAUAACUGGUGAGCUAACAGCUGUAAAGAGUCAUGUAAACGAUCGUCCAAAAGACAAAAUCCGUGUUAUGGCAACCAUAAAAAUAGAUAGGUAUCUAUUAUUCUUAUAUAGGUUUCUACACCUUUAUAAUUGAUAACACUACUUUCGUAGACAAACACAUUGAGGAUUUGGUCCGCAUUUUUUUUAUUUGUAGUGACGUGUCUCUCACCUUGAGUGUGUUCCCACUAUCAAGUUGUGUCAUUUCACAAAAACUUGAAAGCUUUAGGGUGGAUACACGAGUUUUUGUU